AUCAAUUAACAAAAUGCAAUUUGAGUAAAGAAAAUUAAAAUGUAAACAAUCAAUUUUCGUUGUCACCAAUCUAUGCCUUCAAAACAGCAUUCAUUCUUCUGUGAACAGUUGCACAUAGCCUUAGUUGCUUGUCUCCAUGUAUUCCCAGACAGAAUGUGUGAUCCCACACAGAGGUUUGUCGUAUUAAUGUGGAGCAUGUUAAACUGGACUGAUCUUCUUUCCAUAGAAAUUUACAGAUGAGUCAU